rnacentral:tRNA from 1 species
CCGGGGUAGCCUAGUGGACAUGGCAUCUGCCCGGUAAGCGGAACACUGUGGGUUCGAUUCCCAUCCCCCUGGA